GGGGAUAUGGCGGAAUUGGUAGACGCUGCGGACUUAAAAUCCGUUGAUUUUAAAAAAUCGUGAGGGUUCAAGUCCCUCUAUCCCCA
rnacentral:tRNA from 1 species